UGCCGUUCUCCGACCUCAGCCUCCCGAGUAGCUGGGACUACAGCAACUCAGUAACAACUGGUAAUUGAGAGUAGUAUCUGCGUUUCCUUGCUCAACCAAUGCACCUCCCUGUAGAAAGAGGUAUAUGGAUGAAGCUGAACUCUGGAAAGUGCAGUGUGAUGUUGAAGCUUUGCCCAUCCAGAUGCAGAGGGAAUCUGUAGCUUUACUACGUCUUGAAUCUGGGCUGGCCUUGUGGCUGCUUUGAGAAAUCAAAAGCAGUGGGACUGAAGUGGGCGACUUCCGAGCUGAGGCCUCAAGAGAAAUGAAGCUUGCACCACCACCCUCUGGCAACCACAUUGCUAAGAGAGAAAGCCUGAGCCAAUUAGGGGGAGGAACCACAUGGAGGAGAACAAAGGUACCUCAUCUAAAUGUUCCAGCCAACAGCUAGACAUAUGAGUGAGGCCAUCUGGGACCAGCUGUUCCCCAGCAGACCUGCCACAUGACCAUAAACACGAGUGAGACCAGCCAAAGCCACAGAGAGCAGGCAUGAUUCCUGCCCAUACUGCCAGUCCACAGAAUGGAGCAAACAAAUAAUCUACGCUACUGAAUUUUAGAGUGUGUUGUUAUAAGGCAAUAUAUAACUGAUACAAUAAAUAAAAACUUCAUAAAUAAAAACA